ensembl:snoRNA
CUGGCCCUGAAUCAAGGCCAGCAACAGCUUCCUGAUGCUGUUGGUUUCAAGUAAGUGCCGAAAAAGAUGUCUUUCUAUGAUCUGCUGGCCAUUUCAGAACUUGGGCACUGAAAUGGUCAAUGCAUUAGAAAGAAACAGCU